rnacentral:lncRNA from 1 species
AUGAAAACCUCCAAACCAACACAGAAGAAAUCUGAUCAAGAAAAAUGUGGCGUUUGGCUUGACGCUGCGGAGCUGAAAGGAAAAGCUAAACAGAAACGACUUGCUCGUCCCAUUUCCAAACUGUUAAACCCUUUCCUUGGAGGUGGCGGAUACAAUGUCGCUGUGGCUCUUAACUUCACUCAAACCAAACUUGAAAUGCCAAAAACCAGACAAAGCUCUAUAUCAUCCUACUUCUCCCCCCAGCACAAAGUUGUCAAGAAGAUCUCCACUUCCGAGGAGGUGGUGACACCCCCAGCUUCGGCUUCAAAUGCACAUUCGACUGCAACGCGUGGGACAAAAAGGAGUCGUGAAAUUGAUCUGGAGGCCAAGAACUGUGACCCUGCGUGGCUUCAUACCCUGGAAGGUAAAAGUGUUGAUGAAGCAGAGGUGUGGCAGGAGCAGACAGGAAAUGCUCAAAACAAGAACAAUGACAGGCACUUAAAAAUGAUCCAGUCACCACAAAGUAAGCAAAGAGUUUCCAUCAAUUCCUUGUUGCUGGAUGAGAAAGAACCUCCGCUAAGAGCAUGGAGUCAGGACCCUCUUUUCACCUUCAGUGAGUGUUCGCAAGGGGAAUCAUAUCUAAAAGAACAGAACAACAUUACAGAAAAGGACCUUAGCCCAUCAGAGGCCUGGGAUGCUCAUCUGGAUGGAGUAGCAACCACCUCCACCCAGAAAUCUUUAAAACACAGCCAACCCUCUCCGCUGGAUGACGACAAAGAAAACAUGUUUGCCCCUUUUAGCUCCCCAAAUAAACACUCAACUUAUUCUUCAAAUCGUAAAUUUGCACCUACACCGUAUAUUCCAGUACACCCACAGGAGACGGUUGACUCCCAGUUCACGUGGACAAAACCCAGAAGCUCUCCUAUCAAAAGAACCCAUCUGUCCUGCAAAGUGAUGGACGAGGACAGUCUGGCCAUGCUGUUCACCCAAGACUCUGAAGGUUUCAGAGUGAUGGCGCAUAGAAGUACACAAGAACGGAGUCCGCUUAAGGAUCAGAGUAACAUCAACCCUGGGAUGUCAAGAAUGAGCAGUUGCAAAUCCCUGCUGGAGGAGGAGGAGAUGCUUUUUACUCAAGACUCUCAGGGAAAUCUGGUGAUCAAACACUGA